GGGGUUGUGCUGCCAAGUUUAGUUUUUCUGGGAUGUGUAGUUUUGUUGUUUUGUCCUAGGCCGAAAUUUCAUUACCCUUUUAUAUAUAUAGAUGUGGGAGGGGCUGCAGACCAUGUGAUCAGAUCUGGGCUUGUUCAGGACUCAGACUCUGUUUUUAGAACAGUUCAGUUUAAACUUCAGUAUGUUGGACUUCAUUGGACUUUCAGACGAGACAGAGACUCUAUUAAACUCUCAGAACAGAGAGAUGCUUUGGAUUAUGGACUGUUGAUUCUGAGAAAGAUGCCCUUGUGUUACUUACACAGAAAAACUACUUUAAAUCUUAUUUGUAGCUAGAUCGAUAAGCAAAGCACCUGUAUACUGUACACAUGAAGUUUAUGAGUAAACCAACUAUGUAACUUUUAAAGAAAUCUACUUAUUUUUGUCUCUUGAGGACAUGAUUUAAAGGCAAAUAUAUUUUAAGGGAGAGUAAAUGGCUUGGGGGCAACUAAAAAGAACACUUCUGAAACUCUGAUAUACAGUAGAGUCUCACUUAUCCAACAUAAACAGGCCAGCAGAAUGUUGGAUAAGCGAAAAUGUUGGAUAAUAAGGAGGGAUUAAGGAAAAGCCUAUUAAAUGUCAAAUUAUGUUAUGAUUUUAUAAAUUAAGCACCAAUGCAUCAUGUUUUACAACAGAAAAAGCAGUGCAAUACACGGUAACGUUAUGUAGUAAUUACUGUACUUGCAAAUUUUGCACCAAAACAUUGCAAUAAAGAUAGAAUUGAUGCCUCGAGAAACAGCUGUGGAUCAGGGCAGGAGGCAGACUGCAUUGGAUAAUCCAGAACGUUGGAUGAGUGAAGGUUGGAUAAGCGAGACUCUAUUGUGUGUGUGUGUAUAUAUAUAUAUAUAUAGAGAGAGAGAGAGAGCCCCCAGUGGCACAGCAGAUUAAACCACUGAGUUGUUGAACUUGCUGACCGAAAGGUUGGCAAUUCAAAUCCAGGGAGCAGAGUGAGCUCCUGCUAUUAGCCCCAGCUUCUGCCAACCUAGCAGUUUGAAAACAUGCAAAUAUGAGUAGAUCAAUAGGUACUGCUUCUGUGGGAAUGUAACAGUGCUCCAUGCAGUCAUGCUGGCCACAUGACCUAGGAGGUGUCUAUGGACAACACCAGCUCUUUGGCCUACAAUGGAGAUGAGCACCAACCAACCCCCCAGAGUCAGACACGACUAGACUUAAUUUCAGGGGAAAACCUUUUACAUAUACAGUAGAGUCUUACUUAUCCAUCACUCGCUUAUCCAACGUUCUGGAUUAUCCAACGCAUUUUUGUAGUCAAUGUUUUCAAUACAUCGUGAUAUUUUGGUGCUAAAUUCGUAAAUACAGUAAUGACUACAUAGCAUUACUGUGUAUUGAACUACUUUUUCUGUCAAAUUUGUUGUAUAACAUGAUGUUUUGGUGCUUAAUUUGUAAAAUCAUAACCUAAUUUGAUGUUUAAUAGGCUUUUCCUUAAUCUCUCCUUAUUAUCCAACAUAUUUGCUUAUCCAAGGUUCUGCCGGCCCAUUUUGGUUGGAUAAGUGAGACUCUACUGUAUAUAUAUAUAUAUGCAUAUAUAUAUAUAUAUAUAUAUAUAUAUAUAUAUAUAUAUAUAUAUAAAGAGAGAGAGAGAGAGAGAGAGAGAGAGAGAGAGAGAGCGCCCUCGGUGGCACAGCGGAUUAAACCACUGAGCUGAUGAACUUGCUGACCGAAAGGGUGGCGAUUCAAAUCCGGGGAGUGGAAUGAGCUCCUGCUAUUAGCCCCAGCUUCUGCCAACCUAGCAGUUUGAUAACAUGCAAAUAUAAGUAGAUCAAUAGGUACUGCUUCUGUGGGAAGGUAACUGUGCUCCAUGCAGUCAUGCUGGCCACAUGACCUAGGAGGUGUCUAUGGACAAUACCGGCUCUUUGGCCUACAAUGGAGAUGAGCACCAACCAACCCUCCAGAGUCAGACUUAAUUUCAGGGGAAAACCUUUACCUAUAUAUAUCUCUAUCUAUCUAUCAUGUUUUUGUGCAUUGGCAUAUCUUUGUUCCUAACAGAACAAAGAGAUAUCUAUGUUUAUCAGUCUAACAGCUGAGA
rnacentral:lncRNA from 1 species